GCCUACGGGGGGCUGCAGUCGAGAAUCUUCGGCAAUGGGCGCAAGCCUGACCGAGCGACGCCGCGUGGAGGACGAAGGCCUUCGGGUUGUAAACUCCUGUCGAGGGGGAAGAAGCCGCAAGGUUGACUGAACCCUGGAGGAAGCACGGGCUAAGUUCGUGCCUGCAGCCGCGGUAAGACGAACCGUGCGAACGUUAUUCGGAAUCACUGGGCUUAAAGCGCGUGUAGGCGGGACGGCACGUCGGUGGCUGAAAGCCCCCGGCUCAACCGGGGAUCGGGCGCGGAUACGACUGUCCUGGAGGGACGUAGGGGGACCUGGAACUUCCGGUGGAGCGGUGAAAUGCGUUGAGAUCGGAAGGAACGCCCGUGGCGAAAGCGAGGUCCUGGACGUUUUCUGACGCUGAGACGCGAAAGCCAGGGGAGCGAACGGGAUUAGAUACCCGGGUAGUCC
rnacentral:rRNA from 1 species